GCAGCAGCAUUACAAGACGUUCAUACUAUUGCCGUACAACACAGAAUUCUACUGGGUCCUGUUCUUUUUCGACUUGGACGCAUGCAGAGUCACUGUAUACGACUCAAUGAAUAAAGAGGAGAAGGUUUUUGACAAGGUCUUCCAACUGAUAGACAGGGCUUGGGAUCGGUUCCGUCAAUUGGUCCGCGGGACUUGGAAA